rnacentral:rRNA from 1 species
UGCGUAGGGGGCAAGCGUUGUCCGGAUUUAUUGGGCGUAAAGAGCGUGUAGGCGGCUUUACAGGUCCGUUGUGAAAACUCGAGGCUCAACCUCGAGACGCCGGUGGAAACCGUAAGGCUAGAGUCCGGAAGAGGAGAGUGGAAUUCCUGGUGUAGCGGUGAAAUGCGCAGAUAUCAGGAGGAACACCCGUGGCGAAAGCGGCUCUCUGGGACGGUACUGACGCUGAGACGCGAAAGCGUGGGGAGCAAACAGG